CCGCGACUUGGGGGCCUCACGCCUCGCGUUGGGGUUUGUGAGAGAGAGAGAGAGUCUUCGAUUCUAGCAUUCUUCGUUAGUUUUCCUUCUUUAUUCAGGUUGGGAAUGAAAGGCAAUCCAAGAUUUGAUGAAGCUUGCGUAAAUGCAGGAAUGAGGGUUUUCGAUUUGUUCUGGUUUCUAGGGCCGGUCCGGGAAUAGAGACGCCUUCGAUUUGGGACUUGGUUCCUUGCAAAGGUUUGUCGAUUUGGUUUAUUUCUUUUCGUCAUCUACGUACAGGAAGGAAGAGCGAGAAAAAGACAACCAACGCUGACCGGUUUUGCGUAAAAUCUGUGUCAUGAUUUCGAUUCGUUUCGGUUGUUCUGUCCGGGACUGGUAGUGCGCAGGUUUAUCUUUGCCAAGAGAUUCAGGUCUUCUCUCUUUCAAGGGAUCCAAAAUGUCAGGGAGCACGCCGGUGGCUGGUGGCUACGUGAGGCAGAGACACAACCAGGGGUACUUCUCCAGUGCUGAUGACCUCGAGAGGCAGAGGAACAGUGGGGGAUACUCCUCGACUGGCGAUGAUGACAUCGAGGACGAUGCAUGUUCAAGGCCACCAACCUAUUCAAUACCAGCCCUUCGGAGGGCUCAGACAUGGAAACAAGUUGUUGAGACGGUAAUCUGGCUCGUAUUUGCAGUGUUCAUCAUCUACUAUGGUGAUCGGCGCUCAAAUUUGAUCUCUAUCUUGUUCUGGGAUGGAAGGAUCAAGAGGACAACUCUGUAUUUCGGCCUUGUAGGUGUUGCAUCGGAUUUAGGCCUUAUUUUAUAUUCUACAUUUUUCUUGUGCGGUCCACAGAAGCUUUAUGAGAAAAAUGAAGCCUUGCUUUCUAUAGCACCAUAUAUCAUCAUGCUUGGAUUCCUCUCAUUCUGCUUGUUAUCAUUUGCUUUAUGGCCUAUUUGGAGUUUUUUGUCCAUUCCUCUUUUGUUUACACUAUUUAUGGCUGUCAUGGUUAUGCCACCAUACUUGCUAAUCGGACCACUUAGACCACCAGAAUUUGCAGCCCGUGCUGAGUGAUCUUUCAAAAUAGAUUAUCUGAGAACUGAAAAAAAGCUGAUUUUAGAAGGGUGAUUUUCAAAUGUAUGUUGUGGCACUGUAACCAUCAUAGGAAGAUUUACCAAGCUAUGCUACUUCAGGAGCUAAGAUUCAUGAGGAUGGUUGCAAUGCUAUGCUUUGGUGGUGAGUUCAGAGUUGAUAAGGCUGGCAUCCAUACUGUGAUCUGUUUGAUAUGAUUGUCAACAACUACUUCCAGAUCAUGCUUUUGAUAAAAUUUCUAGGUUCUGUUUAGCUCCUCCAGCGCUUGAUAAUACUUGGAGGAGCUGAAGCAUUAAGAAUCAGGUGCAGGAGCAGGAGUAGGGUUCUUGUGCAGCUGUGGAAGUCUAUGUAGAAGAUUCCAAACAGUGAGACUGUAUUGUUGUUGUUGAUAAUCAGAUGUGAUCUGCUCAAUCCAUCAAAGUAAGUGGGUUCGCUCAAGUGACUAAGCUAAACAUGGUGCGAAGGUGAGAGGCCUGUGGUUUUAGCCUUUAUGACAGGGGUUUCAGCCACAUUGCGAACCAUCAUAGCUCCCCUCUGCAGGAUUUUGAACUGCUUCAUACUUGUUCCCUCGUCAGUGACGAGAGUUGCUGAAGACAUGUUCCGACCCCGUCUUAACAUUGUUGAAGUAUGUCUGAGCAACCAGGGAUGCUGGACUUGCCAUCCAAAAUUAUUUUCUCUGUGGUUGCUUUUCAUGUCCAUCUUUGCUUUGUAGCCUAUUUAGAGUGAGCAAUUUUCUUGUUAUGAUUUUUAGGUAGGCAAACAUGAUUGCUACUAGGGAGUUCUGGUUUUAAUUUUCUCCUCUGCCUUGUGGUCAAUGGUUAAAACAUUCUUGUUAUGAGAAAAAUCUGAUAGUUACAGAUUACUAGGAAAAGAUCGAAGUUCAGACUGUUAUACAAACAAUGCCCAUUUUGAGGAAUGAAAGCAGUCAUGAACUAGAAGUGUUCUCCUUCCAGUAAACCAUAUCUUGAGAUUUUAUGUGAAAGGGAAAAUAUCUUUCAUGUGUAUAGCCAU